UAUGAGAGUUUGAUCCUGGCUCAGGACGAACGCUGGCGGCGUGCCUAAUACAUGCAAGUCGAACGCUUUUUCUUUCACCGGAGCUUGCUCCACCGAAAGAAAAAGAGUGGCGAACGGGUGAGUAACACGUGGGUAACCUGCCCAUCAGAAGGGGAUAACACUUGGAAACAGGUGCUAAUACCGUAUAACACUAUUUUCCGCAUGGAAGAAAGUUGAAAGGCGCUUUUGCGUCACUGAUGGAUGGACCCGCGGUGCAUUAGCUAGUUGGUGAGGUAACGGCUCACCAAGGCCACGAUGCAUAGCCGACCUGAGAGGGUGAUCGGCCACACUGGGACUGAGACACGGCCCAGACUCCUACGGGAGGCAGCAGUAGGGAAUCUUCGGCAAUGGACGAAAGUCUGACCGAGCAACGCCGCGUGAGUGAAGAAGGUUUUCGGAUCGUAAAACUCUGUUGUUAGAGAAGAACAAGGAUGAGAGUAGAACGUUCAUCCCUUGACGGUAUCUAACCAGAAAGCCACGGCUAACUACGUGCCAGCAGCCGCGGUAAUACGUAGGUGGCAAGCGUUGUCCGGAUUUAUUGGGCGUAAAGCGAGCGCAGGCGGUUUCUUAAGUCUGAUGUGAAAGCCCCCGGCUCAACCGGGGAGGGUCAUUGGAAACUGGGAGACUUGAGUGCAGAAGAGGAGAGUGGAAUUCCAUGUGUAGCGGUGAAAUGCGUAGAUAUAUGGAGGAACACCAGUGGCGAAGGCGGCUCUCUGGUCUGUAACUGACGCUGAGGCUCGAAAGCGUGGGGAGCGAACAGGAUUAGAUACCCUGGUAGUCCACGCCGUAAACGAUGAGUGCUAAGUG
rnacentral:rRNA from 1 species